rnacentral:rRNA from 1 species
CAUUACUGAGUUUCGCUCUAUAACCCUUUGUGAACAUACCUAUAACUGUUGCUUCGGCGGGUAGGGUCUCCGCGACCCUCCCGGCCUCCCGCCUCCGGGCGGGUCGGCGCCCGCCGGAGGAUAACCAAACUCUGAUUUAACGACGUUUCUUCUGAGUGGUACAAGCAAAUAAUCAAAACUUUUAACAACGGAUCUCUUGGUUCUGGCAUCGAUGAAGAACGCAGCGAAAUGCGAUAAGUAAUGUGAAUUGCAGAAUUCAGUGAAUCAUCGAAUCUUUGAACGCACAUUGCGCCCGCCAGCAUUCUGGCGGGCAUGCCUGUUCGAGCGUCAUUUCAACCCUCAAGCUCUGCUUGGUGUUGGGGCCCUACAGCUGAUGUAGGCCCUCAAAGGUAGUGGCGGACCCUCCCGGAGCCUCCUUUGCGUAGUAACUUUACGUCUCGCACUGGGAUCCGGAGGGACUCUUGCCGUAAAACCCCCCAAUUUUCCAAAGGUUGACCUCGGAUCAGGUAGGAAUACCCGCUGAACUUAAGCAUAUCAA